rnacentral:rRNA from 1 species
GACGAACGCUGGCGGCGCGCCUAACACAUGCAAGUCGAACGAGAGAGAGGAAGCUUGCUUCCUCAAUCGAGUGGCGAACGGGUGAGUAACGCGUGAGGAACCUGCCUCAAAGAGGGGGACAACAGUUGGAAACGACUGCUAAUACCGCAUAAGCCCACAGGUCGGCAUCGACCAGAGGGAAAAGGAGUAAUCCGCUUUGAGAUGGCCUCGCGUCCGAUUAGCUAGUUGGUGAGGUAACGGCCCACCAAGGCGACGAUCGGUAGCCGGACUGAGAGGUUGAACGGCCACAUUGGGACUGAGACACGGCCCAGACUCUACGGGAGGCAGCAGUGGGGAAUAUUGCACAAUGGGGGAAACCCUGAUGCAGCGACGCCGCGUGGAGGAAGGAAGGUCUUCGGAUUGUAAACUCCUGUUGUUGAGGAAGAUAAAUCGACGGUACUCAACAAGGAAGUGACGGCUAACUACGUGCCAGC